UACGUAGGGGGCGAGCGUUGUCCGGAGUUACUGGGCGUAAAGGGCAUGCAGGCGGUCGGACGCGUUUCGGGUGACAGCGGGUGGCUUAACUACCCGAGUGGUCGAAAGACGGUUUGACUUGAGGACGCGAGAGGGACACGGAAUUCCGGGGUGGAGUGGUGAAAUGCGUAGAGAUCCGGAGGAACACCGAAGGCGAAGGCAGUGUCCUGGCGCGUAACUGACGCUGAGGUGCGAAAGCGUGGGGAGCAAACAGGG
rnacentral:rRNA from 1 species